UACGGGGGGAGCAAGCGUUGUUCGGAUUUACUGGGCGUAAAGGGCGCGUAGGCGGUCGUGACAAGUCACUUGUGAAAUCUCCGGGCUUAACUCGGAACGGUCAAGUGAUACUGUCGGACUAGAGUACAGAAGGGGCAACUGGAAUUCUCGGUGUAGCGGUGAAAUGCGUAGAUAUCGGGAGGAACACCAGAGGCGAAGGCGGCGACCUGGACAAGUACUGACACUCAACUACGAAAGCGUGGGGAGCAAACAGG
rnacentral:rRNA from 1 species